CAGUAGCCACGGUAAUACGAAGGGUGCAAGCGUUAAUCGGAAUUACUGGGCGUAAAGCGUGCGUAGGCGGUUUGUUAAGUCUGUUGUGAAAUCCCCGGGCUCAACCUGGGAAUGGCAAUGGAUACUGGCAAGCUAGAGUGUGUCAGAGGAUGGUGGAAUUCCCGGUGUAGCGGUGAAAUGCGUAGAGAUCGGGAGGAACACCGAUGGCGAAGGCAGCCCCCUGGGCCAACACUGACGCUCAUGCACGAAAGCGUGGGGAGCAAACAGGAUUAGAUACCCGCGUAGUCCCUGUCUCUUAUAC
rnacentral:rRNA from 1 species